rnacentral:rRNA from 1 species
AUGGGAUCGAGUGGAAGGGAAAACAGAGGGAGGUGGCUACCUUCUCCAUAUGGGGACUUCCUGGUGGUGAUGUUGAGCACCUUGGUGGCCAUCCUGACAGAGCCCUUGACCUUGAGCUUCUUCUCCUUGGCGCCCUACACCAGAUCCGAGGACACUAUUCAACACAUGCGUGCACAAACGCAUCAGAUCGAAGACGCACAAAUCCAGCCAGAUCCUCGAUCUCCUCAAUGGAAGAGUCUCCCAUCUGCCAAGAAAAGUUGUCAUAGUUCAGUUCACUCCAAUCAAGUGAUGUGUGAGGAGCAGAGAAAGACUAUUGUAUUGAAUAAGUAA